UACAGAGGGUGCAAGCGUUAAUCGGAAUUACUGGGCGUAAAGCGCGCGUAGGCGGUUACGUAAGUUGGAUGUGAAAUCCCCGGGCUCAACCUGGGAAUUGCAUUCAAAACUGCGUGGCUAGAGUGUGGGAGAGGAAGGUAGAAUUCCAGGUGUAGCGGUGAAAUGCGUAGAUAUCUGGAAGAAUACCGAUGGCGAAGGCAGCCUUCUGGCCUAACACUGACGCUGAGGUGCGAAAGCAUGGGGAGCAAACAGG
rnacentral:rRNA from 1 species